rnacentral:piRNA from 1 species
UGGGAGGAAAAUUGUUCAGAU